AGUGGAGCGACGAACCAGGGCUUGCCCUGGGGCAGAGCCGCGAACGGGUGAGUAACACGUGGGUAACGUGCCCCGAUGACUGGGACAACCCGGGGAAACCCGGGCUAAUACCGGAUAUGCCCCCUGACAUCUGUCAGGUGUGUAAAGGAAGCUUCGGCCUCCGCAUCGGGAUCGGCCCGCGGCGCAUUAGCUUGUUGGUGGGGUAACGGCCUACCAAGGCAGCGAUGCGUAGCUGGUCUGAGAGGACGAUCAGCCACACUGGGACUGAGACACGGCCCAGACUCCUACGGGAGGCAGCAGUGGGGAAUCUUGCACAAUGCGCGAAAGCGUGAUGCAGCAACGCCGCGUGCGGGAAGACGGCCUUCGGGUUGUAAACCGCUUUCAGUUGGGACGAAGGUCGACGCGUUAAUAGCGCGUUCGGCUGACGGUACCUUCACAAGAAGCCCCGGCUAACUACGUGCCAGCAGCCGCGGUAAUACGUAGGGGGCAAGCGUUGUCCGGAAUCAUUGGGCGUAAAGAGCGUGUAGGCGGCCUGAUAAGUCGGCUGUGAAAGUCAAGGGCUCAACCCUUGAAUGCCGGCCGAUACUGUCAGGCUAGAGUCCGGAAGAGGCGAGUGAAAUUCCUGGUGUAGCGGUGAAAUGCGCAGAUAUCAGGAGGAACACCUAUGGCGAAGGCAGCUCGCUGGGACGGUACUGACGCUGAGACGCGAAAGCGUGGGGAGCGAACAGGAUUAGAUACCCUGGUAGUCCACGCCGUAAACGAUGGGCACUAGGUGUGGGAGGUGUCGACUCCUUCCGUGCCGAAGCUAACGCAUUAAGUGCCCCGCCUGGGGAGUACGGCCGCAAGGCUAAAACUCAAAGGAAUUGAC
rnacentral:rRNA from 1 species